AAUGAACGUUGGCGGCGUGGAUUAGGCAUGCAAGUCGAGCGAGAACCCGCAAGGGGGACAGCGGCAAACGGGGUAGUAACGGGUAGGCAACGUACCCUCGGGUCGGGGAUAGCCACGGGAAACUGUGGGUAAUACCCGAUAAUCUCUGCGGUGGUAAGUACUGCAGAGCAAAGGUGUGAUUCCACCGGAGGAGCGGCCUGCUUCGUAUUAGCUAGUUGGUGAGGUAACGGCUCACCAAGGCGACGAUGCGUAGGGGGUGUGAGAGCAUGACCCCCACCACUGGGACUGAGAUACUGCCCAGACACCUACGGGUGGCUGCAGUCGAGAAUCUUCGGCAAUGGGCGCAGGCCUGACCGAGCGACGCCGCGUGUGGGAUGAAGGCCCUUGGGUUGUAAACCACUGUCAGAGGGGAUGAAAUGCGGGAGAGCUAUCUCUUCCGUUUGACAUAGCCUCAGAGGAAGCACGGGCUAAGUUCGUGCCAGCAGCCGCCGUAGCAC
rnacentral:rRNA from 1 species